rnacentral:lncRNA from 1 species
CCAGCCCGGGCAGUGGCAGGGGGCCUGGUGGGUAGCGUGCAGCCCAGCGUUGGCGCCGGUGCAUCAGGUCCACCAGGAGCAGGAAGAUGGCCACUAUCACGGCCAGGGGCACCAGUGCUUCUAGCCCCAUACCUGCCUCACUACCAAAUGGGCUCCUCUGGACACACCUGGCACCCCCACCCCACCAGGCACAGAGGACCAGGCAGGACACUCUCAGCACACCGAGCGCGUGACCCUUCCCUUAUAAAGGGAGCUGAUGAUGGCCUUUGCCCUCUGCUCUGCCGAGCUCUGGACUUCUACGGGAUCAUCCACUGAGGACAGGAGGACCGGGCCCUCUACAGGUGGAUUGUAUGGCAGCUGCCAUGCUUGGAGCCAGUGCUCACCGAGCACGUGGCGGCUGUGGAGCUGGACGCGGGGUUGAUAAGUCCGCUGGGGGUGACGGGCUCAUCCAUGAGUGGUACUUGAUGUGGCUGCAGAAGGCGGAUGUGGUGGUGGCAGAAGUGACACAACUGUCCCUGGGUAUAGGCUAUGAUCUGUGCCAGGCCACAGCCCUCAAUAAGUGAAUCCUGUGCCUGCUCCAGCCGCAGUCUGGUGGAGUGCUGUCGGCCAUGAUCUGGGAAGAGGCAGAUGGC